AGGGAAAAAGGAAAAAAAAAAAAAAAAGGAGGAAAAAAGGAGGAAAAAAAAAAAAACAAAAAAAAAAAAGGAAAACCUUCACUACACGAACCGUCGAGCAGUAUUCAGAGCGAGUAUUUGUCGUGAACUGUAGAAUAUAUCAACUGCUAACACUAUUCUUGUGUUCUGGUUGUACAGCUUCAAACGUCCGUCUCUUAAUUUAGGGGGCAGCGCCUUGCAGCACCCCCCCACCCCCCCCCGCCCUGAGGAGGAAUAUUAACCCCAAAGGAGCUGGUCCUCACUGCGUGGAGCCGGAGGAGCUGCCCGUCCCGGUCAGGCAAGGGUUGUGGCACAGGGGGGGGCGGGGGGCACGCGCUGCCCCUGGCGAUGGCUUUGCUUUUUGUCUUUCAGACGUACAUAUGCAUAUACAGUCCUGUUUUAGAUGUUCUUCUAAGGAAACCGGUUUUUAAUGUGCCAAGUUGUAUAUAUCUUGCUGCGUGGAUGUAAAGCAAUACGACCGGUGUGUCACCAGGAUCGCUGUUUUAAGACCAGGAAGCACUACAUUACUGCAAAUAGAUAUGAACUCUUAGUCUGCAUGGGUGUAGGCUGUGUGAUUGCUGAAAAUAAAUGCUGCUAAUAUAUUUCCUUUUUACAAAGCAUAUCUAAAUAGAUCAUUGUUUUGAUGUUAAUCUUUGUAAAUUAUGUAUUACCAAUUUUAACAUUGGAUGUAAUUGCAUAAAAAAAAAAAGGAAAAAAAAAAAAAGGCCUGCAAUCUCAAUCCUGAGAGAGUCUAGUAUUAAAUGGAAAAAUCUUUUCCUACCGCUGACUUCGUGGGGUGUUCUUUGGCACGGCCCCGCUCCGCCUGCGUCGCCUCCCCCCUCCCCCCCAUCCUUGCACCGUGUCCCAUCUGAACGGGGUCUCAUUAACGGGGUCUCAUUAACGGGGUCUCAUUAACGGGUUCUCUCUUUCAGAUCCUGGUCUGCUGGGUGAGCUCAGCCCCCGGGCACGAUUGGGCAGCGUCGGUAGGGACUGAGAGCUGGGGAGCGCAGGUUGGUACACGGAGCACGGCAGCCCCCAGCACCACGCGUCUCAGCACAGGGCUUAGGGCAGAGAUGUCACACGCACCCAAAGCAAUGCCCCCCUCCACCCCCCAUCACCAAACGAAUCCUCAGAGGGGCUGGGAGCACCGGCCUCAUGCUCCCUGAACGAGCAGCAGAGCGAUGGGGAUGGGUGAUGCCGCGUCCCUUCCGCCCCGCUCCUCCCAGGGCCGUGCUCUCAAAUCCUCCCCUCGGGUUCCAGCUUCCUCUGGUUCCGAAGUAAUUUCUGGCAACCCAUGGGGUUUUCUGCCGAUGUGGUAGCACGUCGAGGACCCGUUUUGAUGGAAAUCAGUUUUUCUUUCCCUUUCCUGGCCUGUGGCAUCAUGAAAAUGCCACGCUGGUCCCGUACCCUUGCAUGGUCUCUUUUUAAAGUAGAGGUUCCGUGCCACGGAUCGUAGUGCUUUAAAAAAA
rnacentral:lncRNA from 1 species